GUAUGAAUAUGCUAGAUUAAGUAGGAAAUCAUACCUUUGGAAAUGUCCAACUUUUGGGAAAAACUUUGUCAAGUUUUGAUAGAAUUUAUAUAUUUGAUUUAUCCCAUUUGAUAUUUUUAUUAGGCUUGCUAGGUUGGCUAGUCCAUCCUAUGCGCUGAUUAUGAUCUCGGGCUCGGGUCUUGACACUAUGCUCCUCCUG
rnacentral:lncRNA from 1 species